rnacentral:rRNA from 1 species
GACGAACGCUGGCGGCGUGCUUAACACAUGCAAGUCCAACGGAAAGGCCCUGCUUUUGUGGGGUGCUCGAGUGGCGAACGGGUGAGUAACACGUGAGUAACCUGCCCUUGACUUUGGGAUAACUUCAGGAAGCUGGGGCUAAUACCGGAUAGGAGCUCCUGCUGCAUGGUGGGGGUUGGAAAGUUUCGGCGGUUGGGGAUGGACUCGCGGCUUAUCAGCUUGUUGGUGGGGUAGUGGCUUACCAAGGCUUUGACGGGUAGCCGGCCUGAGAGGGUGACCGGCCACAUUGGGACUGAGAUACGGCCCAGACUCCUACGGGAGGCAGCAGUGGGGAAUAUUGCACAAUGGGCGGAAGCCUGAUGCAGCAACGCCGCGUGCGGGAUGACGGCCUUCGGGUUGUAAACCGCUUUCGCCUGUGACGAAGCGUGAGUGACGGUAAUGGGUAAAGAAGCACCGGCUAACUACGUG